GUAGGUGAACCUGCGGAAGGAUCAUUAUCGUGCCAAAGGUCGCUGCCCCCCGGGGCGGUCGGCCUUUGUUACCCUCAUCCUGUGUUUUUGCGUACCGUGUUUGUUUCCUCGGCGGGCUUGCCCGCCAGUGGAACCCCCUUACAACCCUCUGUAUUUGCAAUCAACGUCUGAAAAAUCAAUAGUUACAACUUUUAACAAUGGAUCUCUUGGUUCUG
rnacentral:misc_RNA from 1 species